AUAUUGGAUCUCGUCUGUUCUGUUUAUGUUGAGCAUCAUCCAUAUUUCAUAUCUUCUGUGGAAAGGAUGCUGUUGAGCAUCAGUUGUUUUCAUUCGAACUUUUACAUUAUUGCAUAAAUGUAAAUUUUGUGUUGCUUGUCUCCUCUCUAAGAUUGAAAUUGGUCGACUUUAAUCUCCAGGCCUUGUGAUCCUUGCAUUCCUUUAUGCAAUGGGUGGAAGGGCGUCGAACAUUUCGUUAAGAUUGAGAAAGAACACUUGUCUCAUGUGCUUUUAAAUUAUUGUUCUUGUUGUUUUCUGUAAAGUGAGUCAUUGGCUUCCAUGAACCUCUUCAUGAGGUGUGUUAGGUGAGUGAGUUUAAUUUGCUAGAUCAAAUUUGGUUUAGGAUUAGAUUAUAAAUCUGCAAGAACAGGAAUAAUUAGAGUUUGGUAUUCGGGUUUAGACCAACAUUAGUGUUUGGUCUAAUAUUUAUCCAAUGUUAGGGGUUGAUACCUGGACCGGACGUUGUCCUGCACUGACUGUUUAUGACCAGAUUUUAAUUAAUUUUAUAAAAUAAAAAAAUUAUAAAUUCUAGUUUACAAAUUCACCCCUGAAAUAGGUCUAGGAUCCGACGGUUAUAAUCUAAAUACUUCAACCUACGGUCUAGAUUAAUCCAUUCUCUUUUUAAUAUUAACUUCGGUUUAUUCACACGAGAUUCUUCUCUUCUCUCUUUUUUCUUUCUCUCCUCUCUUAAUUUCCUUGCUACUUCCAUUUCCACCAUUAUUUCUCUUUUUUUUUUUUUUGUUAUUUCGUUUCAACCCAUCACAGAAAAGUAUGAGGAUUUGAUUUAUUUGAAUCAAAUGAUAAAGAAAACUAAUGUUGCAGAGAUUUACAAUACAUGGUUUGAUUUUGAUGAAAGAAGAAGGCAAAGGAAGAUUAUAUGAUUUAUUAUUAUUGUUACGGAAUUGAUUAGAGUUCGGUUAGGGUUUUGAUGUCUUGAAGAAUUGAGGUUUUAAAUGAAAACUGAAAUUAGGGUUUCGAUUGAGCUCGUGAAAUCGGUUUAAUAAGGGGUUCAGUUGAGAUUUAAUGGGGGUUUCAGUUGAGAUUCAUGACAUAAUCGAUUUAAUUUGAGUUGAUGGCAUAAUCGAUUGAAUAUGGGUUUCAGGUUUCAGCUAAAAUUUCAAUUUGGGUUCAUGACCCUUUGAUAUCAAAUUCUCAGAUUUUGCUACUUAGAUUAGAGAUGGGAUUUGAUAAAUUAGGGGUUUAAUUCUUGUGGUGUACGGUGUGAACAACAAGAAGAAUUAGAAGUUGGGUCUUGUUUAAUUGAUAAUGGUGACAGAGAAGAAGGUAAGGAUUUUAUUGCUUUGAAGGUCGCUGCUUUUGGUUGUGAUGUUCAAGAAUCAGUAGUCGAGAAGCAAAAAUGGUGAAUCAAAUGGAGACAUGAGCAAGAAGAACAAGUUGGUAAUUUUGUAAAUGUUAGGAAAACUGAAGGAUGUGAUGGUAAACUCUUUAAUAAAAAAUUUAUAUAAA